GAUGAGAACGUAGCGAAAUGCGAUACGUAAUGUGAAUUGCAGAAUUCAGUGAAUCAUCGAAUCUUUGAACGCAUAUUGCGCUCUCUGGUAUUCCGGAGAGCAUGCUUGUUUGAGUAUCAGUAAACACCUCAACUUCCAUAUCUUUUUUGAAAUGGGAGUUGGACUUGAGUGAUCCCAACGCUUUUCCUCACCGAAAAGUGGCGGGUUACUUGAAAUGCAGGUGCAGCUGGACUUUUCUCUGAGCUAUAAGCAUAUCUAUUUAGUCUGCCUAAAAAACAGAUUAUUACCUUUGCUGCAGCUAACAUAAAGGAGAUUAGUUCUUGUGCUGACUGAUGCAGGAUUCACAAAGACAGGCUUCGGCCGACUUUGUAAACUCGAUCUCAAAUCAAGUAAGACUACCCGCUGAACUUAAGCAUAUCAAUAAGCGGAGGA
rnacentral:misc_RNA from 1 species